rnacentral:rRNA from 1 species
AUUGAACGCUGGCGGCAUGCCUUACACAUGCAAGUCGAACGGCAGCACGGGUGCUUGCACCUGGUGGCGAGUGGCGAACGGGUGAGUAAUGCAUCGGAACGUGCCCGAUUGUGGGGGAUAACGCACCGAAAGGUGUGCUAAUACCGCAUAAUCUCUGAGGAGGAAAGCAGGGGAUCUUAGGACCUUGCGCAGUUGGAGCGGCCGAUGUCGGAUUAGCUAGUUGGUGAGGUAACGGCUUACCAAGGCGACGAUCCGUAGCUGGUCUGAGAGGAUGAUCAGCCACACUGGGACUGAGACACGGCCCAGACUCCUACGGGAGGCAGCAGUGGGGAAUUUUGGACAAUGGGGGGAACCCUGAUCCAGCCAUGCCGCGUGAGUGAAGAAGGCCUUCGGGUUGUAAAGCUCUUUCGCACACGACGAUGAUGACGGUAGUGUGAGAAGAAGCCCCGGCAAACUUCGUGCCAGCAGCCGCC